rnacentral:rRNA from 1 species
UACAGAGGUCUCAAGCGUUGUUCGGAUUCAUUGGGCGUAAAGGGUGCGUAGGUGGCGCUGUAAGUCGGGUGUGAAAUUUCGGAGCUUAACUCCGAAACUGCAUUCGAUACUGCGGUGCUUGAGGACUGGAGAGGAGACUGGAAUUAUCGGUGUAGCAGUGAAAUGCGUAGAUAUCGUAAGGAAGACCAGUGGCGAAGGCGGGUCUCUGGACAGUUCCUGACGCUGAGGCACGAAGGCCAGGGGAGCAAACGGG